CCACUUGCUUUGUGCACAACUAGCUUACAGAUUGUCUCUCUUUGUCACAUUGCUGAAAAGUCUGUAUAAAUAUCAGCCUUCCCUCCACUGCUCAGCAGUUCAAUCAAUUGAGCCUUCUGACACACUCAUACCUCAGCAUUCCAGUCUGACCGUCACAAUGAAGCCCAUCACAGGUCUCUUCCUCUUCUCCUUUAUCUUCUCUGUCAACAGUUUUAAUAUAGAUACACUCAAAACUGCAGCUGCAACUGCUAUAAAUGUUGUGUAUGACACAUGUAUGAAACAUUGUGCUGGAGAGAUAGACAUUGAAGAUACUGUACCUGAAGGUGCUGAUCCAAAAGAAUACAACAGCAUAACAGACGAACACUGGAAAAAAUUCAUGGGGGAACUAACAAGCAGAUGUGCCACUAAAAAGCCAUGAGGUCAAGGUGACAAAUGAUCUCAAUCCCAAUUCAAACUACCAAUGAAGACUCUCAAAUUUUAAUUUGUCUUUUUCUUCUUGUUCCCUCUUCCAUGCAGCCUAUAAACUCUGAUAGAAGUAAACUUUUCAUUUAUUUAUCCUGACUAUGAAGGGUUGUAGAUAUUAAUAUAGAUGCUUUAAUAAACAUCAGUUCUGAACAUGAAAUUCCCUGAGU
rnacentral:lncRNA from 1 species